GGGGCCGACAUCCCAACCUGCUCCUAUAUAAAGAAACUCUGAACCGACUCCCCGCUUCUUCAUUUCUCUUCAACAACUCGACAGCUCGCUGCUGCUUGUCGCUCAGAAGGAUCCAGACACGGGGACCGGAGAACAUAGAGAACCUGGACUCUAUUUCUUCGCCGACUGAAGACGUGUCCGAGGGAGCAGAUGAGCUGCAGGAUGCUGCUGCUGCUCUUCAUCCUCCCCUCCUGUGUCUGCGGUGAGUUCUCUCCCCUCCGGCCCUCAGAAACAUGCAGGUGGGGUUUAAAGGCUCUGCUCCUCCCUCUCUGUCUCCUCCACAGGACCCUUCGUAGUGAACGUGACACAGAGCUCCUAUCAGGCAGAGGAGAACCACAGCGUCACAAUGGAAUGGACCUUCACCACCAACACUGAGCGCGCCUCUGACUCCCCGGAUAUCCUCUGUGUACUGUUAGCUGAUAUCAGGCAUAACAAUACCGACAUGUUUUAUGUAUAUGAUGGAGUCCAGAGCCCAGAGUAUCAGGAUGAACACUUUGCAGGACGAGUCCAGUGGGACCAAGACCUCCUCAGAGAAGGACGAGUCAGACUUCAUCUGUCCGGACUCAGGACUUCUGACUCGGGUCGGUACGUGUGUGAAGUGGCCACAAGUUAUGGGAUGAACUUUGGGACGUGUCGGCUCAAUGUCUCUGCCGUGAGGGAUCGACCCGAACCCGAGACAAACGGACCAGAUGGGGGAAGAGAUUCCUCAGGGACAGAAAGUCACCCACAGCCAGAGAGUCGGGGACGGAUCGGCCUCUACUGGGUACUGGCGACAGUUCUUCCGGUUCUUC